UAAUGCUUAGGAAUCUGCCUAUUAGUGGGGGACAACAUCUCGAAAGGGAUGCUAAUACCGCAUACGUCCUACGGGAGAAAGCAGGGGACCUUCGGGCCUUGCGCUAAUAGAUGAGCCUAAGUCGGAUUAGCUAGUUGGUGGGGUAAAGGCCUACCAAGGCGACGAUCUGUAGCGGGUCUGAGAGGAUGAUCCGCCACACUGGGACUGAGACACGGCCCAGACUCCUACGGGAGGCAGCAGUGGGGAAUAUUGGACAAUGGGGGGAACCCUGAUCCAGCCAUGCCGCGUGUGUGAAGAAGGCCUUUUGGUUGUAAAGCACUUUAAGCGAGGAGGAGGCUACCGAGAUUAAUACUCUUGGAUAGUGGACGUUACUCGCAGAAUAAGCACCGGCUAACUCUGUGCCAGCAGCCGCGGUAAUACAGAGGGUGCAAGCGUUAAUCGGAUUUACUGGGCGUAAAGCGCGCGUAGGUGGCCAAUUAAGUCAAAUGUGAAAUCCCCGAGCUUAACUUGGGAAUUGCAUUCGAUACUGGUUGGCUAGAGUAUGGGAGAGGAUGGUAGAAUUCCAGGUGUAGCGGUGAAAUGCGUAGAGAUCUGGAGGAAUACCGAUGGCGAAGGCAGCCAUCUGGCCUAAUACUGACACUGAGGUGCGAAAGCAUGGGGAGCAAACAGGAUUAGAUACCCUGGUAGUCCAUGCCGUAAACGAUGUCUACUAGCCGUUGGGGCCUUUGAGGCUUUAGUGGCGCAGCUAACGCGAUAAGUAGACCGCCUGGGGAGUACGGUCGCAAGA
rnacentral:rRNA from 2 species